CCAACGAAAGAUUAUUUUUCGGUCAUGGAACCAAGCUGUCUGUCCUGGGUAUGUAAAAGAUUUCUUUCUCGGGAGGGUGUGUUGUAAACCUAGAGCCACGGGGAACUCCUCGGGCAAGGUGAGGACUGCAAAGGCAGCCUGGGCUGUGGUUCAGGGAGGAAGGAAGGAUGGUGAAUGUGCCUGAGCCCCUGGAGAUUCUGUGCAGAGUCCUGCCUCAAAGAAGGGUCCCAUCAGCUCUUUGGGAGUUUGUCACCCUCAUGUUGUACUGUGUAACAACCAGGCUCCGCUUUUUGGAGAGGGGACUCGACUCUCUGUUCUAGGUAAACUAUGGGACCAAACUGGUGGGACCAUUGUCCUUUGGACCUGGAGUGUCUGUAACCCCAGAGCUGGUGGAAGGGACUGGGAAAUUUAGUUAUUCCUUUACUUGCUAGGUUCUGAAAUGGAACUCUGCCUCACUUAUGAGGAGAUGCAUCAGCACCUGCUUCUUUUCCCCUGAGUCUGCAGUCUAGGAGUCUUUUCCUGCCUUCUUCCCAGGGUCAUCCUACAGUUUUGUUUGCAUGGGUGUGCUCCUUCUGAGUCCCUUCCCCCUGUCUCUCUCCUGUGACAUGCCUCAUGGUAUUACUGGAGUCUGGAAUACUUCCUGCAGGCAGAGAGGUAGUCAUUCAGGUCUCAGGGAUCUAAGACUCGCUCUCUAGCUUUGGGACCGCUGGUAGGUUUUACCAAGGCCACCUGCAGCUGUGUUCCUAUAAUUCGCCCCUCUACUUUGCGGCAGGCACCCGGCUCACUGUGACAGGUAUGGGGGCUCCAUUUCUGACUGGAGGGGUUGUGCCUGUGUUGGAUGACCAUGGUCUUGGAAAGGAACUUAGGUAUAAGAUAAGACAGAAUCCUUAGGUAUAAGGUAAGACAGAGUCGUCCCUUCCCAUCUGGAACCCUCUACCUUUCUACCUUCCCCAGAGCCUGGUCGCUUGCUCUUCUCUGGGUUUGUUUUCGUGUUCUGGACACAGAAUGCCUUUCUUCAGGGCUUUGAGUCUUCUUGCUCUUCUUUUUACUAUUCUUUGGGCUACUGUCUUCAGUGACUUCUGAGCGGAUGCAUUACUUGUUUUUUCUCUUAGCCUCAUCUCCACUCUUUCCAUUCUCUAUCCGCUUCUGCCUUGUUGGAUUGGUUUGAUACAUAGAGCUCUGUCUGCUGAUUUUAAAAUAUCAACACUGACCUCCUAUGCAGACUUCUGCUCCCUCCUUCAUCUUCUGCCUGCUCUCUGUCCUUAUCAGUUUCUGAGGAUACAUGUCUGUCUUCCUUGUGUGGUAGAAGGACUGUACAGCAGAAGGGAUCAGGUCCUAGUGGUCUCAGGGUGACCUGGGGACAAAUCCUGAGGAAAGGCAUAUGUGUGUCAUAGCAUUAUAGGAACUCUAGCUGCCUACAGGAGUUCAGAGUAUAUUAUACUUGGUGGAUAUCUCAGGGUUAGGGAAAAAAAAAAACCUUAUAACAAGAGAAUGAUAUAUUAGCAACAAAAUAUGUAAAAAGACGGGAAAAUAAUGGUCCUGAGACUCCAGGUUUGUCUUGUGAUAUUAAGCUAAUGAAAGACUAGCAUAAGCAAUAUCAUGCUUGGGAGGAAGCAGAAGAGCUAUCAGGCAGGGGGACAACAUGCGGUCUAGGAGAUACAGGAAAAGGGGAAGAAUGGGACGCCUUGGUCCUCCCAGGACUGGUAGCUUCCAUAAAUAUUGUCUUAUAGAUGGACAGGAACCAUGCCAUGGAAAUUAGAGGAAAUUACUGAGCACUGCUUUCAAAGGUCUGGGGCUCAAAGAGGGGGAAAUUCAUGGAAUAAUUUUCUUUUGAAAAAAAUUAAAUGUGUUAGGCUAUCCCAGACUCUCUAAGACAUGCC
rnacentral:lncRNA from 1 species